rnacentral:lncRNA from 1 species
CAGCUGUUUGAAAUGGAAUUUGCACGAAGGUUUUCCAGGAAGGACACUAAAAGCUGAUCACAGGCUUGCUGUGAAAUCAUCAAAGAGAAUUAACCACUGAAGAUAUCUGGAAUACAGGGCUUGUCUAGGUGGUUCUCUCCCAAGUUUGGUCGAACCCAGGAGCCAGGCAAUUAGAUACUAAAAGAAGAUGGCUUAAAAUACGAAAGAAACCAUUUGCCUAG